AUUGAACGCUGGCGGCAGGCCUAACACAUGCAAGUCGAGCGGAUGAAGGGAGCUUGCUCCUGGAUUCAGCGGCGGACGGGUGAGUAAUGCCUAGGAAUCUGCCUGGUAGUGGGGGAUAACGUCCGGAAACGGGCGCUAAUACCGCAUACGGCCUGAGGGAGAAAGUGGGGGAUCUUCGGACCUCACGCUAUCAGAUGAGCCUAGGUCGGAUUAGCUAGUUGGUGGGGUAAAGGCCUACCAAGGCGACGAUCCGUAACUGGUCUGAGAGGAUGAUCAGUCACCCUGGAAUUGAGACACGGUCCCGACUCCUACGGGAGGCAGCAGUGGGGAAUUUUGGCCAUUGGGCGAAAGCUUGAUCCAGCCAUGCCGCGUGUGUGAAGAAGGUCUUCGGAUUGUAAAGCACUUUAAGUUGGGAGGAAGGGCAGUAAGUUAAUACCUUGCUGUUUUGACGUUACCAACAGAAUAAGCACCGGCUAACUUCGUG
rnacentral:rRNA from 1 species